rnacentral:lncRNA from 1 species
CUCCAAAUACCAUUACACUAGGGGUAAGCACUUCAAAAUAAAAGUUUGGGUAGUCACAAACAUUCAGUUCAUAGCAAUUAGUGUAUAAAUCUGUUUGAGUCCUGCUUUAACUUCUUUUGAGUAUAUACCCAGAAAUGGAAUUACUGGAUCAUGCGACAUCAAAACUUUAAAAAUGGCACUAGGACAACAAGAUCAGGAGUUCGAGACCAGCCUGGCCAACAUGAUGAAACCCCCGUCUCUACAAAAAAUAUUAAAAAUUAGCUGGGUGUGGUGGCACAUACCUGUAAUCCCAGCUACUAGGGAGGCUGAGGCAAGAGAAUUGCUUGAACCCGGGAGGUGGAGGUUGCAGUGAGCCAAGAUCACGCCACUGCACUCCAGCCUGGGCAACAGAGUGAGACCCUAUCUCAAAAAAAAAAAAAAAAAAAAAAAGAAAAAGAAAAGAAAAAGAAAGGCACUAAAUUAGCCCUACUGUAAAGGCUGUUCUUGACCCAGACUAACAGAGCUUAAAAGCAAGCAUGGAAAAAAUAAAAAUGAACUGCAAGUAGUUUAACUUUCUGCGAGGACAUAGUUCAAUACUCUUUGAAGGAAUGCAACUGAUAUGGUUUGGCACUGUGUCCCCACUCAAAUCUCAUCUUGAAUUGUAAUCCCCACUUAUUGGCGGGACCUGCUGGAAGGUGACUGGAUCUUGGGGGUGAUUUCCCCCAUGCUGUACUCAUGAUAGGGAAUGAGUUCUCACGAGAUCCGAUGGUUUAAAAAUGUGGCACUUCCUCUCUUUCUCUCUGCCCUGCUGCCAUGGAAGACAUGCCUUGCUUUCCCUUCACUUUCUGCCAUGACUGUAAGCUUCCUGAGGCCUCCCUAGCUAUGCAGAACUGUAAGUCAAUUAAACCUCUUCUCUUUAUAAAUUACCCAGUCUCAGGUAGUUCUUUCUAGCCAUGUGAAAAUGGACUAACACAGCAAACUAACACAAAACUUACAAUAUGUCAUCUAAUGAUCAAUUACCGGGUCUACAAAAAAGCAACAUAACCCACAACCAGAAAGAAAAAAAAUGAAUGCAUACUCCAAAAUGACAGAAAUAAUAGAAUUGUCAUGCAAAAACCUUAGCAUAGCUAAUAUAUUACAAAUAUGUUCAAAAAUGUAAAGAAAAAUGUGACAAAUAAGAGAAAUAGAAAGCUACAAAAAAAAAAUCCCAAAUGUAACUUCUAGAGUUGAGAAACACAGUAUCCAAAUGAAAAAUAUGUCACUAUUGUUAGGCGAACAGCCUCCUCACUUUUACUUAGGAAACAUAUGAUACAGAAUUUUUGAAUGACUUAACUAGCGCUCUAUUAUCAGAAGACUAUUAAUUGGAAACAUAUUUUCUGGAUUAUCCAGUCUGGAGUUCUUUUUUUCUAUAUUUUAUAUAUAUUUUCUAUAUGUUUUUCAACAACACUUUGUGCAAGACUUUGAAAGAGUCCAAGGCUCAACAAAUGAACUUC